ACUUUGAUUUUAAAAGAAGCAUCCUUACCUCUACUGGGGUGAGUGCUCUUUGCCGGAGGGGCACAACGCCCCCCUCUGGUUUCGUGACGCGUGACAGCUGGGCCUUCCUGUAGUUGAGUAAGCGGGCGAGGUUGUUGGCGGCGGCGGUUGCCGUGACACUCCUCUUGUACCAGGCUGGGUGGUAGAAGCCGCUGUAGAUCCAGGGGUUGCGCUUCUCCUUCUGGUGUGCCUCCUCUUCUUCCUGCACCUCCUCCUGUGCCUCGUCUGCGAGCAGGCGAUCCCCCAGCUCCCUCCCACUCUGGGCCAGGUACUUCAGCGCCUCCUCACGCUCCUCGUCAUCCAGGGUUGCGGAAUGCCUCUUCUCCACCUCCUCUUCCUGAUCCUCCUCUUCCUCAGAUGAAUCUUCUCCACGCUUGUGAUGCUUCCUUUGAUAUUUGCGCGCCGUCCCAGGCCUAAAGGACCUCCUCUCUCUUUCCUCCUCCUCCUCCUCUUCCUCGGACGAGUCUCCUCCACGCUUGUGAUGCUUUCUUUGAUAUUUGCGCGCCGUCCCAGGCCUAAAGGACCUCCUCUCUCUGUCCUCCUCCUCCUCCUCUUCUUCCUCGGACGAGUCUCCUCCACGCUUGUGAAGCCGCCUUCUUUGAUGUUUGUUCGACGGCCUGAAGGUCCUCUUCUCUCUGUCCUCCUCGUUCUCCUCCUCGUCAUCCUCGGACGAGUUUUCUCCACGCUUGUGAUACUUUCUUUGAUAUUUGCGCGCCAACCCAGGCCUGAAGGACCUCUUCUCUUUGUCCUCCUCCUCCUCCUCUUCCUCGGAUGAGUCUCCUCCACGCUUGUGAUACUUUCUUUGAUAUUUGCGCGCCGACCCAGGCCUAAAGGACCUCCUCUCCCUUUCUUCCUCUUUCUCCUCCUCCUCCUCCUCCUGUUGUCUCUUCUGUGGGAGGAAGUCUGGGAAGGCCUCCUGGCUUCUCUCCUCAUCCUCACUGUCGGCCCGUUUCAGAUGAAGGUGCCUCUUCUUGGCGUAGUCUGGGAAAGACUCCUGACUGCGUUCAUCAUCUUCCUCCUGCCUUCUCUUGUAUUGUGGAAACGCCUCCUGACUACGUUCUCCAUCAUCCUCCUCUUCCUCUCGCUUGUCUUGGGCCGCUAACUGCCAUCUCUUCCUGUAUCCUGGAAAGACCUCCUGGCUGCGUUCAUCAUCCCCUUCCUCACGUUUCUGCUUCUCUGACGGAAGGAGGUGCCUUUUCCUCUGGUACUGAGGAAACUCCUCCUGGCUUCGUUCAUCCUCUGCCUCCUCAUGUUCGUGAGGUCCUGUUAGCUGCCACCUCUUCUUGUAGCCAGGGAAAGCCUCCUGGCUUCGUUCCUCGUCCGCCUCUUCGCGCUUCUCCUCGUUCUCCUUAAGGAGGUCUCGGAUGGCCUCCAGCUCUGAUUCUUCUUUGGCUCCUUCCCCCUCUGGUGGCGACACCUCCUCUCCACUCUUCUUCACUGGAGCCUCAUGGUUGGAGCCUGGAGAGAUGGGAGAAAGACAGGUGCAUGUCAGAAAUGGCCAAAUCCCAGAGAUCUAGUUUGCCAGUUUUCAAGCAAUAACUGGCAGGUUCAUGCUGCAAUGUUAAACUAUGACUAUCAGAGUAAGUUUAAAACGAAGACCAAAUAUCUGACAUGCUCAUGAAUGAUAUAUAAAUUGGUGUACUUGCAUAAGAGCCUCUACAGUCAAUGGAGACAUAGAGCAGGACGAGCUAUUUUGAGUAAUUGUGGACACCAGUGUACAAUAUAUACGUGUUUUUGCCUCCAUGAUAUGAAACAAAGACCAAAGGAAAGUCAACUAAUUCUGUAAAACAGUGUAAAUAAGAAAAGUCUGGAAAAUAAAUUGAAAACGUGCUUUGAUUGUAAGCAGGUGCAGAGGUGGCAGUAAUGCUAAUUGUUCCACAACUAAAUCAACAGGCUUUGUUGUUUAGACAUAGAGGACGCCUUAUGUCCAUGUCGAUUAUGGUGCUGGACAAAUCCAAACAUACAUUUUCAGCCGUGGGAUAAGAUGUGAGAUGUCUCUUCUGCUUCGAGAGAUCCUUGCUCUGGGCAACAAUGCUUACUGUUGCGCGGUCAGAGCGAUGUGCACUUGUAAUCUGAACACUGCCGUACGUGGUGUUGUUGUGCAAAUGACAUCCUUAAGCUGGGGGACUCGGCAUUCGCAGCAGACAAG
ensembl:lncRNA